AAAAAAAGUUAUAUAUUGCCAAAUUGUGCUCCAAAAAGGUUAUAUGUGUUUAUCCUUAUGCUAACCAUAUAUGAGACUUUCCUAAAUCAGCCCUCUUUCUCCGUUAUCUCAGCUGGAGAAGCGACUGGAGGAGUGGUUGGGGAGGACAUUGCCUGGCAGUGACUGGACACCCAAUGCCCAGUUUAUCACCCGUUCUUGGCUUCGGGAUGGCCUCAAGCCACGCUGCAUAACCCGAGACCUCAAAUGGGGAACCCCUGUACCCUUAGAAGGUUUUGAAGACAAGGUAUUCUAUGUCUGGUUUGAUGCCACUAUUGGCUAUCUGUCCAUCACAGCCAACUACACAGACCAGUGGGAGAGAUGGUGGAAGAACCCAGAGCAAGUGGACCUGUAUCAGUUCAUGGCCAAAGACAAUGUUCCUUUCCAUAGCUUAGUCUUUCCUUGCUCAGCCCUAGGAGCUGAGGAUAACUAUACCUUGGUCAGCCACCUCAUUGCUACAGAGUACCUGAACUAUGAGGAUGGGAAAUUCUCUAAGAGCCGCGGUGUGGGAGUGUUUGGGGACAUGGCCCAGGACACGGGGAUCCCUGCUGACAUCUGGCGCUUCUAUCUGCUGUACAUUCGGCCUGAGGGCCAGGACAGUGCUUUCUCCUGGACGGACCUGCUGCUGAAGAAUAAUUCUGAGCUGCUUAACAACCUGGGCAACUUCAUCAACAG
rnacentral:sRNA from 1 species